rnacentral:lncRNA from 1 species
GAGCAUUCAAAUCGACACAGCCUAAUGAUAAUUUGUUACAGAGAAGCCCAAGUCAGAGAGGCCUCUUUCCGAGAUCAGAGAUAGAGACGAAUAGAGCAUCGGCGACAAUGAGAAUUUUGCAGCCUCUGCCUCUCCCACCACCGAAUUUAUCACUGCGGUCACUCUCUUCAUCAGCUUCUGCUUCUGCAAGGGUCUACUCAGACCACCUUCUCACCUUCUUGGUCUGCUUUUAAAAGCAUACAUAUUAGCUCCAGUACAUCUACAUAUAGUUAAGUUGUGAUGCUGAUAAUGAAUUGCAUAGAUGGACUCAGUCACCUGUUUCUUCAUCAUCAGGACUCUCCAAUCCCGGUCCAAUGAGCAUAGUAUCCUAUUUGUUUGCUGUUGGAGUCCAUCGGAGAGGAAGUACGUGCCCGGCAUGACCUCAUAGAACUCGGAUCUCUCCACCAGUAUUAACUGUUACCAAUCACCUCCCGCGAACAUGAUCUUUCUUGACCAUUAUUAGCAUCUGUUCUAAAACUCUUGUAAUCGUCGUGCACAAUGUGGAUCCCCCUCUGCUUCAUGUCAAACUCGGGGGAUCUCGUGGAUAGACUGGAUACUGCAAUAGUUAUAUGUUGGUCAACUUGCUUAGUUGCAGUCGAU